rnacentral:misc_RNA from 1 species
GAUGAAGAACGCAGCGAAAUGCGAUAAGUAAUGUGAAUUGCAGAAUUCAGUGAAUCAUCGAAUCUUUGAACGCACAUUGCGCCCCUUGGUAUUCCGAGGGGCAUGCCUGUUCGAGCGUCAUUAUAACCCCUCAAGCUCAGCUUGGUGUUGGGGCCUGCUGCACUGGCAGCCCUUAAAAUCAGUGGCGGCGCCAUCUGGCUCUAAGCGUAGUAAUUCUUCUCGCUAUGGAGUCCUGGUGGAUGCUUGCCAUCAACCCCCAAUUUUUCUAUGGUUGACCUCGGAUCAGGUAGGGAUACCCGCUAAACUUAAGCAUAUCAAUAAGCGGAGGA